CCUGAAGUAGCUCAGUGGUAGAUCGCCCGGCUGUCACCGGGAGGGCGCGAGUUCGAUCCUCGCCUUCAGGUCCA
rnacentral:tRNA from 1 species